rnacentral:rRNA from 2 species
AAGUAAAUAAGAGCGUAUGGCGGAUGCCUUGGCUCUCAGAGGCGAUGAAGGACGUGAUAAGCUGCGAUAAGCCACGGUUAGGUGCAAAUAACCUUCAACCCGUGGAUUUCCGAAUGGGGCAACCUAUCAUACUGAAGGUAUGAUGCAUUGCGCAAACCCGGAGAACUGAAACAUCUAAGUACCCGGUGGAAAAGAAAACAAUAGUGAUUCCCUUAGUAGCGGCGAGCGAACGGGGAAUAGCCCAAACCCUAAUGGUCUAGGCCUUUAGGGGGUUGUAGGACUGCAACGUGGAAUGUAUUUUUAUAACAGAAUUACCUGGAAAGGUAAGCCAUAGAAGGUGAUAGCCCUGUACGUGAAAUAUUAAUACUACCUAGCAGUAUCCUGAGUAAGGCGGGACAUGUGAAAUCCUGUCUGAAUCUGCCGGAACCAUCCGGUAAGGCUAAAUACUCCUGAGAGACCGAUAGCGAACUAGUACUGUGAAGGAAAGGUGAAAAGUACCCCAAACAGGGGAGUGAAAUAGAACCUGAAACCAUACGCUUACAAACUGUAGGAGCCCUUCGGGGUAACUGCGUGCCUUUUGCAUAAUGACCCUACGAGUUGCUCCUCACUGGCAAGGUUAAGGACUUUAGGUCCGGAGCCGAAGCGAAAGCGAGUCUGAAUAGGGCACAUAGUCAGUGGGGGCAGACGCGAAACCUUGUGAUCUACCCUUGGCCAGGUUGAAGCUCCGGUAACACGGAGUGGAGGACCGAACCAGUUAACGUUGAAAAGUUUUUGGAUGAGCUGAGGGUAGGGGUGAAAGGCUAAUCAAACUGGGAGAUAGCUCGUACUCCCCGAAAUGCAUUUAGGUGCAGCCUCGAGGUUUAGUGUCAUAGAGGUAGAGCUACCGAUUGGGCUAGGGGGCUUCACCGCCUACCAAACCCUGACGAACUCCGAAUGCUAUGACAUAUACUCGGGAGUGAGGGCAUGGGUGCUAAGGUCCGUGUCCGAAAGGGAAAGAACCCAGACUAUCAGCUAAGGCCCCUAAAUAUACGCUAAGUUGGUUAAACGUGGUCCGAUUGCUUUGACAGCUAGGAUGUUGGCUUGGAAGCAGCCAUUCAUUUAAAGAGUGCGUAACAGCUCACUAGUCGAGCGAUUGGGCGUGGAUAAUAAUCGGGCAUAAAGUGUAUUGCCGAAGCUGUAGCUUUCUGCAGUAAUGCAGAAGGGGUAGGGGAGCAUUCUAGUCUGCACUGAAGGUGUAUCGUAAGGUAUGCUGGAGCGGCUAGAAAAGAAAAUGUAGGGAUAAGUAACGAUAAAGCAGGCGAGAAACCUGCUCACCGCAAAGCCAAGGUUUCCUGAUCAACGCUAAUCGGAUCAGGGUUAGUCGGGACCUAAGGCAAACCCAAACGGGGUAGUCGAUGGACAAUAGGUUAAUAUUCCUAUACCGACAUACAUUGCGAUGGGGUGACGGAGUAGUGAAAGAACUGCGUACUGACGGAAUAGUACGUUGAAGAGCUUAGGUAGAUCGUUGGCAGGUAAAUCCACCAAUGAUGCUGAAACUCGAUAGUACCGCAAAGCUUCGGCUAAGUGGAUAAUGUUCCUAAUCAAACUUCCAAGAAAAACCCCUAAGCUUCAGAUGUAUGCCGCCCGUACCGUAAACCGACACAGGUGGCUGAGGAGAAUAUCCUAAGGUGCUCGAGUGAUUCACGGUUAAGGAACUCGGCAAAUUGGUCCCGUAACUUCGGAAUAAGGGACGCCCCGUGCAAACGGGGCCGCAGAGAAUAGGCCCAGGCGACUGUUUAUCAAAAACACAUGGCUAUGCCAAAUCGAAAGAUGAUGUAUAUGGCCUGACACCUGCCCGGUGCUGGAAGGUUAAAAGGAGAUGUCAUCCGCAAGGAGAAGCAUUGAAUUGAAGCCCCAGUAAACGGCGGCCGUAACUAUAACGGUCCUAAGGUAGCGAAAUUCCUUGUCGGGUAAGUUCCGACCUGCACGAAUGGUGUAACGAUCUGGGCACUGUCUCAACCGUGAGCUCGGUGAAAUUGUAUUGCCGGUGAAGAUGCCGGCUACCCGCAACGGGACGGAAAGACCCCGUGAACCUUUACUAUAGCUUCACACUGGCUUUGGGUAAUUGAUGUGUAGGAUAGGUGGGAGACUUUGAAGCGGUAUCGCUAGGUAUCGUGGAGUCGUCCUUGAAAUACCACCCUUUAAUUGCCUGAAGCCUAACUUGGAAAUAAGGACACUGUGUGGUGGGUAGUUUGACUGGGGUGGUCGCCUCCAAAAAAGUAUCGGAGGCUUUCAAAGGUACCCUCAGUACGCUUGGUAACCGUACGUAGAGUGCAAUAGCAUAAGGGUGCUUAACUGUAAGACCGACAAGUCGAGCAGAUAGGAAACUAGGAUAUAGUGAUCCGGUGGUUCCGCAUGGAAGGGCCAUCGCUCAAAGGAUAAAAGGUACUCCGGGGAUAACAGGCUGAUCUCCCCCAAGAGCUCACAUCGACGGGGAGGUUUGGCACCUCGAUGUCGGCUCGUCACAUCCUGGGGCUGAAGAAGGUCCCAAGGGUUCGGCUGUUCGCCGAUUAAAGUGGCACGCGAGCUGGGUUCAGAACGUCGUGAGACAGUUCGGUCCCUAUCUGUUGUGGGCGCAGGAAAAUUGAGAGGAGCUGACCUUAGUACGAGAGGACCGGGUCGGACGUACCUCUGGUGUACCAGUUGUAACGCCAGUUGCACCGCUGGGUAGCUAUGUACGGAUGGGAUAAGCGCUGAAAGCAUCUAAGUGCGAAGCCCACCUCAAGAUGAGUUUUCCCUUAAGGGUCGUCAGAGACUAUGACGUUGAUAGGCAGCAAGUGUAAAGACAGUAAUGUCAAAGCUGAGCUGUACUAAUUACCCGAUUGCCUUUCU